rnacentral:rRNA from 1 species
AUAAGUUAGUGGGGAGGUAAAGGUUUCACCAAGGGCGGGAUCCCAAGGUUGUUUGAGGGGGAUGUUCAGCCCACCGGGAAUUGGAGCCCCGGUUCCAGAUUCUUCGGGGAGGCAGCAGUGGGGAAUUUUGCCCAAUGGGCGCAAGCCUGAUGCAGCCAUGCCGCGUGUGUGAAGAAGGCCUUCGGGUUGUAAAGCACUUUCAGUCGUGAGGAAGGUAGUGUAGUUAAUAGCUGCAUUACUUGACGUUAGCGACAGAAGAAGCACCGGCUAACUCCGUGCCAGCAGCCGCGGUAAUACGGAGGGUGCGAGCGUUAAUCGGAAUUACUGGGCGUAAAGCGCAUGCAGGUGGUUUGUUAAGUCAGAUGUGAAAGCCCGGGGCUCAACCUCGGAAUAGCAUUUGAAACUGGCAGACUAGAGUACUGUAGAGGGGGGUAGAAUUUCAGGUGUAGCGGUGAAAUGCGUAGAGAUCUGAAGGAAUACCGGUGGCGAAGGCGGCCCCCUGGACAGAUACUGACACUCAGAUGCGAAAGCGUGGGGAGCAAACAGGAUUAGAUACCCUGGUAGUCCACGCCGUAAACGAUGUCUACUUGGAGGUUGUGGCCUUGAGCCGUGGCUUUCGGAGCUAACGCGUUAAGUAGACCGCCUGGGGAGUACGGUCGCAAGAUUAAAACUCAAAUGAAUUGACGGGGGCCCGCACAAGCGGUGGAGCAUGUGGUUUAAUUCGAUGCAACGCGAAGAACCUUACCUACUCUUGACAUCCAGAGAACUUUCCAGAGAUGGAUUGGUGCCUUCGGGAACUCUGAGACAGGUGCUGCAUGGCUGUCGUCAGCUCGUGUUGUGAAAUGUUGGGUUAAGUCCCGCAACGAGCGCAACCCUUAUCCUUGUUUGCCAGCGAGUAAUGUCGGGAACUCCAGGGAGACUGCCGGUGAUAAACCGGAGGAAGGUGGGGACGACGUCAAGUCAUCAUGGCCCUUACGAGUAGGGCUACACACGUGCUACAAUGGCGCAUACAGAGGGCAGCAAGCUAGCGAUAGUGAGCGAA